AUUGAACGCUGGCGGCAGGCCUAACACAUGCAAGUCGAACGAGUGGCGGACGGGUGAGUAAUGUCUGGGAAACUGCCCGAUGGAGGGGGAUAACUAAUGGAAACGGUAGCUAAUACCGCAUACCAUCGGAUGUGCCCAGAUGGGAUUAGCUAGUAGGUGGGGUAAAGGAUCACCUAGGCGACGAUCCCUAGCUGGUCUGAGAGGAUGACCAGCCACCCGGAAACUGAGACACGGUCCAGACUCCUACGGGAGGCAGCAGUGGGGAAUAGUGCACAAUGGGCGCAAUCCUGAUGCAGCAAUGCCGCGUGUAUGAAGAAGGCCUUCGGGUUGGAAAGUACUUUCAGCUGGGAGGCGUUACUCGCAGAAGAAGCACCGGCUAACUCCGUGCCAGCAGCCGCGGUAAUUC
rnacentral:rRNA from 1 species